rnacentral:tRNA from 1 species
GGGCGUUUAGCUCAGCGGGAGAGCACUGCCUUCACACGGCAGGGGCCACUGGUUCAAUCCCAGUAACGCCCA